rnacentral:rRNA from 1 species
CACGUAGGGUGCGAGCGUUGUCCGGAAUUAUUGGGCGUAAAGAGCUCGUAGGCGGUUUGUUGCGUCGGCUGUGAAAUCCCGAGGCUCAACCUCGGGUCUGCAGUCGAUACGAGCAAACUAGAGUGUUGCAGGGGAGACUGGAAUUCCUGGUGUAGCGGUGAAAUGCGCAGAUAUCAGGAGGAACACCGGUGGCGAAGGCGGAUCUCUGGGCCUUACCUGACGCUGAGGAGCGAAAGCGUGGGUAGCGAACAGG